UUCACAGAAACUAAUGCGAGUGUGGCCGAAUUCGGCCGAAAACGGCCAACCCGAGGCGAAUCGCCGCCGCAUGCGGCGGCGCCGUCGCCGGAGCACGGCGGAGCCGUCGUGCCGGAGUUGCGAUAUUGGCCGAAAGGGGCCCUGGACCUAAUUUGGGAUUUUUUGGAACACGUGCAGGUACCAGUAGUGCGUUUCAGUUCCCCGGGAAAAAUUCAGGAAAAAUUGGGGACAGCUUGUAGGCGCACUGUGAAGCCGUGUUCGGACCCCUAAACGAGUAAGGACCCCUCACCCUAUUUUCUAUCACGGUAUUAAAGUUCAAU
rnacentral:lncRNA from 1 species